rnacentral:rRNA from 1 species
GACGAACGCGGCGGCGUGCUUAAUACAUGCAAGUAGAACGCUGAAGGGAGAGCUUGCUCUUCUGGAUGAGUUGCGAACGGGUGAGUAACGCGUAGGUAACCUGCCUGGUAGCGGGGGAUAACUAUUGGAAACGAUAGCUAAUACCGCAUAACGUUGACUAUUGCAUGAUAGUCAAUUGAAAGGUGCAAAUGCACCACUACCAGAUGGACCUGCGUUGUAUUAGCUAGUUGGUGGGGUAACGGCUCACCAAGGCGACGAUACAUAGCCGACCUGAGAGGGUGAUCGGCCACACUGGGACUGAGACACGGCCCAGACUCCUACGGGAGGCAGCAGUAGGGAAUCUUCGGCAAUGGACGGAAGUCUGACCGAGCAACGCCGCGUGAGUGAAGAAGGUUUUCGGAUCGUAAAGCUCUGUUGUAAGAGAAGAACGAGUGUGAGAGUGGAAAGUUCACACUGUGACG